rnacentral:lncRNA from 13 species
CUUAUUCUGAUUUAAAGCAGGAUCGCCAGUGCUACAGCCCCCUGGGGAUGGACUCAUUUCAACAGCAGCAGAAGCUCGCCUCUAGAAGAACUCCCAUUUGCACAGGACAGAGAUGAGUGGAAAUGAACAUAUGACACUGAUAGGCAUCUCCCGAUUACUUAUAGAGGCUGGAAGGCCUCUUACAGCAUCUGAGUUCCUAGCUGGCACCUGUAACUCCCUGACCCAGGCAGAUAUCACUAACGCUGGUGCAUUGCUGCUGUGAGGAUUGGUACCAUUUGGUCUGACCGGGCUCUCCAGUACGCGGCUGGCAGGCUUCUCCGCACCUGUUACUUGCAGACAAGAAGCAGCUGAGCUGUGAGGCACGUGGG